GACGAACGCUGGCGGCGUGCUUAACACAUGCAAGUCGAACGGAAAGGCCCUUCGGGGUGCUCGAGUGGCGAACGGGUGAGUAACACGUGGGUGAUCUGCCCUGCACUUUGGGAUAAGCCUGGGAAACUGGGUCUAAUACCGAAUACACCCUGCUGGUUGCAUGACCUGGUGGGGGAAAGCUUUUGCGGUGUGGGAUGGGCCCGCGGCCUAUCAGCUUGUUGGUGGGGUGAUGGCCUACCAAGGCGACGACGGGUAGCCGGCCUGAGAGGGUGACCGGCCACACUGGGACUGAGAUACGGCCCAG
rnacentral:rRNA from 1 species